AGUGAACGCUGGCGGUAGGCCUAACACAUGCAAGUCGAACGGCAGCACAGGAGAGCUUGCUCUCUGGGUGGCGAGUGGCGGACGGGUGAGGAAUACAUCGGAAUCUGCCCAGUCGUGGGGGAUAACGUAGGGAAACUUACGCUAAUACCGCAUACGACCUUCGGGUGAAAGAGGGGGAUCGCAAGACCUCUCGCGAUUGGAUGAGCCGAUGUCGGAUUAGCUAGUUGGCGGGGUAAUGGCCCACCAAGGCGACGAUCCGUAGCUGGUCUGAGAGGAUGAUCGGCCACACUGGAACUGAGACACGGUCCAGACUCCUACGGGAGGCAGCAGUGGGGAAUAUUGGACAAUGGGCGCAAGCCUGAUCCAGCCAUACCGCGUGGGUGAAGAAGGCCUUCGGGUUGUAAAGCCCUUUUGUUGGGAAAGAAAUCUUUCAGGCUAAUACCCUGGGAGGAUGACGGUACCCAAAGAAUAAGCACCGGCUAACUUCGUG
rnacentral:rRNA from 1 species